CAGCAGCCGCGGGAAUACGAAGGGUGCAAGCGUUACUCGGAAUUACUGGGCGUAAAGCGUGCGUAGGUGGUGGUUUAAGUCCGUUGUGAAAGCCCUGGGCUCAACCUGGGAAUUGCAGUGGAUACUGGAUCACUAGAGUGUGGUAGAGGAUAGUGGAAUUUCCGGUGUAGCAGUGAAAUGCGUAGAGAUCGGAAGGAACAUCUGUGGCGAAGGCGACUAUCUGGGCCAACACUGACACUGAGGCACGAAAGCGUGGGGAGCAAACAGGAUUAGAUACCCGUGUAGUCCCUGUCUCUUAUAC
rnacentral:rRNA from 1 species